rnacentral:rRNA from 1 species
AGUCGAACGGCGCUUCACGGACUUCGGUCUGGUGGCGAGUGGCGAACGGGUGAGUAAUGUAUCGGAACGUGCCUAGUAGCGGGGAUAACUACGCAGAAAGCGUAGCUAAUACCGCAUACGCCCUUCGGGGGAAAGCAGGGGACCUUCGGGCCUCGCACUAUUAGAGCGGCCGAUAUCGGAUUAGCUAGUUGGUGGGGUAACGGCUCGCAAGGCGACGAUCCGUAGCUGGUUUGGGGGACGACCGACCACACUGGGACGAGACACGGCCCAGACUCCUACGGGAGGCAGCAGUGGGGGAAUUUUGGACAAUGGGGAAACCUGAUCCAGCCAUCCCGCGUGUGCGAUGAAGGCCUUCAGGUUGUAAACGCACGGCGGGAAAAACGGCCUGGGAUAAUACCCCGUGCAACUGACGGUACACCUGCAGAAUAAGCACCGGCUAACUACGACACCAGCAGCGCGGUAAUACGUAGGGUGCAAGCGUUAAUCGAAAGAUUUUGGAGCGUGUAGCGUGCAGGCGGUUCGGAAAGAAAAUGAAAUCCCGAGCUUAACUUUGGAACUGCAUUUUAACUACCGAGCUAGAGUGUGUCAGAGGGAGGUGAAUUCCACGCGUGUAGCAGUGAAGUAUGGCGCAGAUAUGCGGAGGAACACGAUGGCGAAGGCAGCCUCCUGGGAUAACACUGACGCUCAUGCACAGCAGUAAGGGCGACAAGUUGGUGCCCUGGUAGUCCACGCCCUAAACGAUGUCAACUAGCUGUUGGGGCCUUCGGGCCUUGGUAGCGCAGCUAACGCGUGAAGUUGACCGCCUGGGAAGUACGGUCGCAAGAUUAAAACUCAAAGGAAUUCGACGGGGACCCGCACAAGCGGUGGAUGAUGUGGAUUAAUUCGAUGCAACGCGAAAAACCCGCCUAUGAAGCAUGUCUGGAAUCCCGAAGAGAUUUGGGAGUGCUCACAAGAGAACCGGAACACAGGUGCUGCAUGGCUGUCGUCAGCUCGUGUCGUGAGAUGUUGGGUUAAGUCCGCAACGAGGCGCAACCCCCUUGUCAUUAGUUGCUACAGAAGGCACUCUAAUGAGACUGCCGGUGACAAACCGGAGGAAGGUGGGGAUGACGUCGAGUCCUCAUGGCCCUUAUGGGUAGAGACUUCACGUCUUACAAUGGUCAGGACGGGGUCGCCUUCCCGCGAGAGACCAAUCCCAGGAAACCCGAUCGUAGUCCGGAUCGCAGUCUGCAACUCGGCUGCGUGAAGUCAGAAUCGCUAGUAAUCGCGGAUCAGCAUGUCGCGGUGAAUACGUUCCCGGGUCUUGUACACACCGCCCGGUCACACCAUGGGAAUUGGGUUUUACCAGAAGUAGUUAGCCUAACCGUAAGGAGGGCGAUUACCACGGUGAUUCAUGACUGGGGUGAAGUCAUAUGAGUAG